AUGGCUGCUACCAAGUGGAUACUUCUCCUUUCUUCAGUAGCCCUGUUGGGCCUGAGCUCAGCUCAAUUCACAGAUGAAGAGGAUGAACAAAAUUCAGAAGGACCAGUAGAUUCACCAGCACCAUUUGACUCCCAGGAAGACGAUCAGAACCCUGCCCAGCAACAAGGUGGUAACCAGAAACGUGGACCUCCAGGUGGAAAGCAAGGAGGUCGGCAAGGUGGACAGCAAGGAGGUUGGCAAGGUGGACAGCAAGGUUGGCAAGGUGGACAGCAAGGAGGUCGGCAACGUGGACAGCAAGGAGGUCGGCAAGGUGGACAGCAAGGAGGGCGGCAAGGUGGACUGCAAGGAGGUCGGCAACGUGGACAGCAAGGAGGUCGGCAAGGUGGACAGCAAGGAGGGCGGCAAGGUGGACUGCAAGGAGGUCGGCAAGGUAGACUGCAAGGAGGUCGGCAAGGUGGACAGCAAGGAGGUUGGCAAGGUGGACAGCAAGGAGGUCGUCAAGGUGGACAGCAAGGAGGUCGCCAAGGUGGACAGCAAGGAGGGCGGCAAAGUGGACAGCAAGGAGGUUGGCGAGGUAGACAGCAAGGAGGCCAACAGGGUGGCCAUCCAGGUGGCCAAUGAAGAGGUCAUUCACUCUCCCCACCCCCAAGUGCAUAAAAAGGAAGAUGUGCAUUCAGGAGGCACCCUUGAAGUCCUCACAGGGACAUGGAUAUUUGACAGUACGUACCUCUUGAUCUACUCCAUUGUUUCUUUACAACACCAAUAAAUACACUAGCAAUUAAAUGUUGACUCCUGCU
rnacentral:lncRNA from 1 species